GACGAACCGAGCGAACGUUGUUCGGAAUCACUGGGCUUAAAGGGCGCGUAGGCGGGCUGUCAAGUCUGGGGUGAAAUCCCUCGGCUCAACCGGGGAACUGCGUCUGAGACUGGAAGGCUUGAAUCCGGGAGAGGGAUGCGGAAUUCCAGGUGUAGCGGUGAAAUGCGUAGAUAUCUGGAGGAACACCGGUGGCGAAGGCGGCUUGCUGGGCCUUACCUGACGCUGAGGAGCGAAAGCGUGGGGAGCAAACAGG
rnacentral:rRNA from 1 species